rnacentral:rRNA from 1 species
GUACACGCUGUGACUAGCAUAUCAAUAAGCGGAGGAAAAGAAACUAACAAGGAUUCCCUCAGUAACGGCGAGUGAAGCGGGAAGAGCUCAAAUUUGAAAUCUUGAAAGGUCACCUUUCACGAAUUGUAGUUUAAAGAAGUGUUUUCUGUUACGAUCGUAAUAUAAGUUCUUUGGAAUAGGACAUCACAGAGGGUGAGAAUCCCGUCUAUGAUUGCGAUUUGUAGCUUUGUGAUACACUUUCAAAGAGUCGGGUUGUUUGGGAAUGCAGCCCAAAACGGGAGGUAAAUUUCUUCUAAGGCUAAAUAUUGGCGAGAGACCGAUAGCGAACAAGUACCGUGAGGGAAAGAUGAAAAGAACUUUGAAAAGAGAGUUAAACAGUACGUGAAAUUGUCAAAAGGGAAGCGUUUGACACCAGUGUUGUUUUUCUGAAAAUCAAUUAAAGAACUGUUUAUGCUAAGUUGUUUAGACUUUAUCAGCUAUCUGCUUAGUUUUGAGCUUUUCUUUAAUGCACUUUUCAGUUAACAAGUCAACAUCAAUUUCUUUUGCUGUAAAAAAGCUUGAGGAAGGUGGCUUGAGAUUCGUCUUAAGUGUUUAUAGCCUCUUGCCUAUGCAGUCGGAGAGAUUGAGGUCUGCAGCGUAGACUCCUUCGGGGCUAGAUACAUUUGUGCUAAGUUAUAGCAUUUUAUAGACAACUUGUUGACUAUGAUUUGUCUUGUAGCUUACUCGCUUAUGUUAUUUUACCUACGCUUAGGAUGUUGACGCAUGAGAUAUACGC